AAAUAACGUAAUUUUUUUUGACAAAUAUUAAAAGUAAACAAAAGUUGUUAAUCGUCUGUUUGUCAUAUGAGUGUAUGCAUAAAAAAAAUUUAGUUUCGUUUACCAAGCUCUUAUUUUAUUAACUUAGAUGUAAAUAUUUGUCGAAAUGACAAUGUAAGUUUGUCUUUUCAUGCCAUAAAAAGGAAGUUUUAUAAAUUUCAAACAAAUGAUUAACUUUCACUAUCAAUGUUAAAAUCAUUUUAAUAUUCCUGAAGAAUAAAAACGGAGGAUCUCAUUUCGUAAGGUUAAGCAUGAGGUAGUUUACACAAAUUCUGCAAGAUUUCAUUGAAGCAAAACGGUUUAUCGACAAGUCAAAGUUAAUGUUUUCACCCUAAAUAAAAACCACGGUCGGCAAGACUACAACCCAACCGGCGUAUCUUGUUUCACUUUGGUAAUUAAAAACAAAUGAACGCGUAUUUGAAACGAUUCAGGCGUAAACUAAAAACACGUUUAUUUCCAGGGCAGUUUUAUUCGAGUUUAACACGUGAUUUAUGGCAAAUUUAAAUGUCGCGUGCUUUUAUCACGGAUUACACAGUCUUUAUGGAAGUUUAGUACAAUAUAAUACUACAGUGAAACCACCAAUAUUUUAACUGAUAUUUUUGGUAAAUAGUGAUAAUAUAAAUUAAAAUAGUGAUAAUUUCACGGAAUGAAAAACCAUUUUUGGCAAGCGUUAUUCUUUUUGUUUUAAGUUUUAAACACGAAACAGAAACCAAGCAUAACUUUUUGAGUUGUGCCAGGUGGGUAAACCCAAAAACAACCUUAAUCCAGAAAAAAAUAUUUUUUGCUUAACCACGGUAUAGACAUUUAUACUUUAAAUACAUCACAGAUUAUGUUUUUUAACAAAUAUGAUCAUAAUAAUCUUUAAUACCAUGAUAAUGAGAAAUUAUUUUUUAUCAAGAUUUCCAAAAACUUUACAAUUUUAAUUUUAUUCUAAUUUAAUAAAAAAAAAACUGGAUAGAAUACAUAUAUUUGCAAAACUAUCAAAGUUGUCAAACACAAAAUACUGAAUUCGUCUGGGAAACAAAAAAAAGUAAUUAGAAAUCGUCCAUUAAAAAGUUUAACAAGUUAUGAUUUUCUUAAAAUAUUAAUUUUUUUUUGAUUUGCAUAUAAACUCUAGGGAACGAAAAAUCGACCAUUUGCGGUGAUCGGCUUUCUGCGGUGAUGGUCGGUUAUCAGCUAACCGCAGCGGUCGGCGGUGCGGGGUGAUGCAUUGGCGGUAACAACGGUUAGAGGUGUGCGGUGAUUGUCGGUAAGCGGUUUUCAGAUCAUCACCGCAGAAGUCCGAACACUGCAAAUGGUCGAUUUUUCGUUCUCUAAUAAACACCAUCAUUCGAGGCUGUAGGUUACGGAUAAAUUAUAUCUUGUAUUUCAAACAUGUUAAAAAUAACAACUGAAAAAACUUUAAAAAAAUUUAAAAACUUAUUUUUGUUCAAAACUAUUUACUAACCUAAAUAUUUAGGUUUUUAAAAAUGUAUAUGAUUUUAUCGCCUUAUUUUGUCUAUAAUAUUCUGAAAUUUCAAAAUUCAUUCAAGUGUAUCUUGAAUAAAGAUGGAUAUAAAAAUUAAAUGCAAGAAUAGUAUUGUAAAGAUUUAAAAAGAUCUUCAAUUUAUAACUUAAAAAACGUUGGGCAGGUAUGGGCGGCGGUAGGUUAUCUAAAACGUACGAAUGAAAAGGAGGGGGAGACGUUAACAACAGCGAGUACGUACGCGAUUUGACUAAAUUAAGUUCUCUAUUUCUUUUUAAACAUGAUUUCUUCUUAUUUUUUUUUAACAAAAGCUUUAAAUUUUACGAGUUGUCACGAGAGAAACAUCAAAUUAGCAAAAAAGUUUUUUUCUUUGUUUUUUAUGUUUUGAAAAAAUUAUACGUUAGGAAAAAGAGAAAGGUGGAUAGAUUUUGUAAUACAUAAUGCGUACGUACUCAGAAAUAGGGUUGUUAAAACACACAGGUACGUACAAGGUGGAAGGGAUCCUAAAUCAGUUGUUAGAUUACAAUACAUCUAUUAUGUUAUUGGUUAAGUUAUUUAAUUAAGAAUAUAUCACAAACAAUAAUAUUCAUUUAUUCGGUA